ACUGAAAAAGUGAGGAUGUAGGAGCCAAAAAAAAAGUCUGAGACCAGCCCUGCCACUUACUAGCAGGUCCCGUCAGUUUGGGCUUCUGUUUCUCACCAAUGAAAUGAAUAGGAGAAGUUCAGCUCUCAGAUCUUGCAACUCUGAGAGUCCUUUUCCCAGCUUCAGCUACCUUUCUCCUACCAAACGUGACUGGAUAGUCCUAGGACAUAUAUAAUGUAUCAUUAUAUAUGAUACUGUGGCUUUAGGGUUUAGAAUUUAUUUGAGAUGGUCUAUGGCAAUUCAUUCAUUUUACUCAUUGGAAACUGAGCCUCAGAGAGACAGAGGCAUUUGUUCAAGGUUACACUUUACAACCAGCUUGAGAAUCUGUGGGUUCUCCUGUGACCACUCACAUAGACCCUAAGAUUCCUUGGUCACAAUUUGCCAUAUGGUUGUGUGAGAACCUGUGACCCCUCACUUAGACCCUUGGAGUCCUUGAUCAUAAUUUGCCAUAGGAAGGUGCAGAAUGGUGGAUAUGGUGGGGUGGCCCUCAACAUCCACUCCAACCACCCUUCAAUCUGCCUUUCAGUACUGUAGAGGCUAGAAAGAGUAGAAUACAUGCUGUAUUAUCUCAUUAAUAUAAAGUUCAAGAGCAGGCAAAACUAAUUUAUGGUGACAAAAAUCUAGACAGUGGUUAUUGGGUAUGUGAGGGAGGUGAUGUUUGACUGCAAACAAGCAAAAAGAAACUUUCUGGGUGGUUGCAAACCCUGAUCUACAUAGUAAAAGGCAACAUUGACUUGCAGCUCCUGAGCCUGCCCCAACCAUGAAGAAUGUGGGCAUCUUGGGACAUUGUGUUCUUCCUGACUGUGGACCAGCUGGGCUUCUGCUGUGUGUUCCUGAUGCUUCUGGCAGAUAACCUCAAACAAGUAGGGCAGAGAACUCAAGCAGAAAUACAAGAUGGCACGAGAUAGCCCAGCUUGAGUUUUAAGCAGCUCCAUCCAAAUCAACCAGGUGAUCAAGACAACUGAUGAGAUCAUAGCUGACUGCCAGGGCAGAGGCGUGGCGAUUCCCACACCCACCGUGGAUGUCACAUCUACACAGUGUUCACAUUUCCCUUGCUGGUGCUGCUGGUGUUCCUCCAGAGCCUCUGUGCGCUGCCUACUUUCUAGAUGCUGAACAAAGUCUUCACGCUGGGAAGCCUCGUCCUCAUCCUCCAGCAUCUCCUCCAGGUAGAUUCCCCACCCCAUGCAGUCACCUUGAGAAGGGUGUGCGUGUGUAUGUGUGUGUAUGUAGAACAAAGCCUGGAAACACAUCCUCCAGAUUGUCAAUGAUUUCCUCUAGAGAGGGAAAGUUCAGGUUGUUGUAUAUUUUCCUAUAUGUGUCUCUAUUGUUUGACAUAUAUAUGGAAUUAUCACACAGAAAAUUUCUGCAUAAUGCCCAAACUCCGGGGAAUGAAUAUAUCUCUCUCAUUAUAAUUUUUCCCCAUGUUUAUAUAGGAAAUAUUUACAUUUCUGUCCCCAAAUGCAAUAUAACAUAUUUAACAAAACAACCCAUGGGAAAUAUCUUGAGACAUUCCUUACAUUGUCUUACCUUACAGAUUUAGUUAAAUGUUAGGACCCACACAGACAGUUUGGAAAGAGAACAAGCAUCCACAAAGAGGAUGUGGAGGAUGUUUGCAGACAAAAGCAAUUUCUUGUGACAACCAUAUUCAUUUGUGUUUAGUAUCAAGUUUUAAGCAUUCAUAGACUAACGUCAUAGUUUGUUGCUUACAUACAGGCAUUUUACUUGUUUUAGUUACGUCUUAAGAAAUGGUUGAGUAUUUGGGGUGGAUGUUCAUGUCACAAUUUCUCCUAUUUAAAAUAGUAGGAACUUGGUUGUCAGUGAUUUGCCCAGAUCAUCAGAUUUUUAGAGCAUAUUAAUGCUAUGAAGGAGGUUUGGUUUGGUUUGGUUUGGUUUCAACAAGCAGGUAUUUUCUUAUCCGUGGGAAAAACUGUACUAAGGACCCUUGUUCAACUCAAGUUGAAGUAACUGGGGGAAAAAGAGACUAUUAGAAAGAUUCUGGGAGGUGUCAAGGAACAGUCAAGCCCUAAAAGGAUCCUGAGGCAGUCAGUCUUUGCAGGUCACACCAACUCAGGGGUGGACCCCCAUUAGGGCUCCCGAAGCCUUUGCUCAGUUUGGCUCUGUGUAUUGGCUUUAUACCUCUCUCUUAAUGUGAGCUGGCUCUGUCCACAGCUUCUGAGUUUUACAUUUUACAAUUUAGCCACCAGAAGGAGACUAAUCUGAUGUUCUCUCAGGUCUCAAAAUUUCAGGAAAGGAAUUCAUUGGUUCAGCUCAGGUCAGGUGCCACCCCUGGAUCAAUCUCCUAUAGUUGGGGGCAACACCAAUA
rnacentral:lncRNA from 1 species